CGUGUAGGUGGUUAGAUAAGUCAGAUGUGAAAGCUUCCGGCUUAACCGGAAAACUGCAUUUGAAACUGUUUAGCUUGAGUGCGAGAGAGGGUAGCGGAAUUCCCAGUGUAGCGGUGAAAUGCGUAGAUAUUGGGAAGAACACCAGUAGCGAAGGCGGCUACCUGGCUCGCAACUGACGCUAAUGCGCGAAAGCGGUGGGGAGCAAACA
rnacentral:rRNA from 1 species